CUUUCUCCCAGGCCCCAAAUAUUUGGUGUAUUGUGAAAUAACACUGGGUCCAACACCUAGAAAAUAAGAGGCUCCUGCCUGGGCCCUGCCCAGUGGGCCUUGUGACAUAUAUCUGCAUACACUACCUAGGACAUGUGACUCUUCUUUUCUGCCUGCACCCUCCUAACAGAAAAGAUUAUGACACAUCACUGGACCCCGCGACAAGGUGGUGAGGCUCUUUUGACUGAGUCUUGAAUACGUAGAUCAUUGUGACAUAUUGCUGAGCCCUCACAGAAGAUUGUGACAUAUAUCUGGCCCCAAACCAAGGAAAUGUGACUCUUCUUUUCUG
rnacentral:lncRNA from 10 species